CGAGGGGCCCGGCAGCGACACCGGUGAGCCCCGCGCCACCCCUUUAAGGCAGGGGGGGCGGGGCAUGAAGGAGGCGCCUGCCCCUUUAAGGUGGUAGGCCGCGGGGGUGAGGGAGGCGCCCGCCCCUUUAAGGCCGCGGGGGUGAGGCAGGCGCCCGCCCCUUUAAGGCUGCGGGGGUGAGGGAGGCGCCUGCCCCUUUAAGGCCGCGGGGGUGAGGGAGGCGCCCGCCCCUUUAAGGCCGCGGGGGUGAGGGAGGCGCCCGCCCCUUUAAGGCCGCGGGGGUGAGGGAGGCGCCCGCCCCUUUAAGGCUGUGGAGGUGAGGGAGGCGCCCGCCCCUUUAAGGCUGUGGAGGUGAGGGAGGCGCCUGCCCCUUUAAGGCCGCAGGGGUGAGGGAGACGCCUGCCCCUUUAAGGAGGUGGGGGACUGCAGGAGGCGCCUGCCCCUUUAAGGCACUGGAAGCUGCAGGAGGUGCCUGCCCCUUUAAGAUGGCCGGAGGUUGCGGGAGGUGCCUGCACCUUUAAGAUGUUUGAGGGUGGUGUUUGAGGUGUGCGUCUGCCCCUUUAAGAGACUGCGCCCGUGCUCAUCCCUUUAAGGAAAUUGUGUGAGAGUUUUUAGAUGGGCACCUGUCCCUUUAAGAUGCGGGGGUGGGGCUUGAGAUGGAUGCCUGCCCCUUUAAGAUGAGGGUGCUUGAUGUGGGGCCCCUGCCCCUUUAAGAAGGUUAGGGGUGGGGUUUCAGGUGUGCAGUGCCCGCCCCUUUAAGAUGGCAGUUCCAUGGGGCCCUGCCCCUUUAAGGUGGGCCAGGAGGAGGUGCCCGCCCCUUUAAGGCGGCUGGGGGCUGCGGGAGGCGCUGCCCCUUUAAGAUGGCAGAUGCUAGGGAAGUGCUCACCCCUUUAAGAUGGUUGGGGUGGGGGCUUGAGGCUAGUGCCUGCCCCUUUAAGAGAGUGGUGCCCACCCCUUUAAGAUGGCGGGGGGGUGCAGGAGGUGCCUGUGCCUUUAAGAUGACAGGGGUGGGCUUGAGGUGUGCAUCUGCCCCUUUAAGAUGGUUGGGCUGUGGUUUGACAUGUGUUGCUGCCCCUUUAAGAGGUUGCACUCGUGCUCAUCCCUUUAAGGAGAUUGUGGUGGUGCCCGCCCCUUUAAGAUGGCCGUUCCGGGGCCCUGCCCCUUUAAGGUGGCUGGGGAGGUGCCUGCGCCUUUAAGAUCGCUGAUCAUAGGGAUGAUGUGUCUGCCCCUUUAAGAGCUGAAGGUGGUGCCUGUCCCUUUAAGACAAGCAUUUGAGGGUUUUGAGGUACCUGCCCCUUUAAGGUGUGAACUGGAGAGGGAAGGAUGCAUCUGCCCCUUUAAGAGUCUGGGGUGCUGCCUGCCCCUUUAAGACACCAGGGCUGGGGGGCAGAUGUCUGUGCCU
rnacentral:lncRNA from 1 species